ACGUAGGGGGCAAGCGUUGUCCGGAUUUAUUGGGCGUAAAGCGCGCGUAGGCGGUUUCUUAAGUCUGAUGUGAAAUCUUGCGGCUCAACCGCAAGCGGUCAUUGGAAACUGGGGAACUUGAGUGCAGAAGAGGAGAGUGGAAUUCCACGUGUAGCGGUGAAAUGCGUAGAGAUCAGCAGGAAUACCCGUGGCGAAGGCGACUACCUGGACCAGCACUGACACUGAGGCACGAAAGCGUGGGGAGCAAACAGGA
rnacentral:rRNA from 1 species